UACGAGGGGGGCAAAUGUUGUUCGGAAUCACUGGGCGUAAAGGGAGCGUAGGCGGGUUUUUAAGUCAGGUGUUUAAUCCCGGGGCCCAGCCCCGGACCGGCACUUGAAACUGGGAAUCUUGAAUAGUGGAGAGGUCAGUGGAAUUGGGGGUGUAGCGGUGGAAUGCGUAGAGAUCCCCAAGAACACCAGUUGCGAAGGCGGCUGACUGGACACAUAUUGACGCUGAGGCUCGAAAGCAUGGGGAGCAAACAGG
rnacentral:rRNA from 1 species